rnacentral:lncRNA from 14 species
GACAUAUAACAACACCCACAAGAUAGACAUGACCGUUUAAUGAAUUGUCAUGGCCUAAGCUGCUACGUGCUCAAGUGGAAUUAGAAAUCAGGGGUCCAAGACCUGGAAGAGCGUGCUUUGGUUGAAUUGGCUUUCCAGUGCGCCCAUCUACCAAAUAACUACGGAUACUGGUAAGUGAUG